rnacentral:rRNA from 1 species
GAACGCUGGCGGCGUGCUUAACACAUGCAAGUCGAACGGAAAGGCCCUGCUUUUGUGGGGUGCUCGAGUGGCGAACGGGUGAGUAACACGUGAGUAACCUGCCCUUGACUUUGGGAUAACUUCAGGAAACUGGGGCUAAUACCGGAUAGGAGCUCCUGCUGCAUGGUGGGGGUUGGAAAGUUUCGGCGGUUGGGGAUGGACUCGCGGCUUAUCAGCUUGUUGGUGGGGUAGUGGCUUACCAAGGCUUUGACGGGUAGCCGGCCUGAGAGGGUGACCGGCCACAUUGGGACUGAGAUACGGCCCAGACUCCUACGGGAGGCAGCAGUGGGGAAUAUUGCACAAUGGGCGGAAGCCUGAUGCAGCAACGCCGCGUGCGGGAUGACGGCCUUCGGGUUGUAAACCGCUUUCGCCUGUGACGAAGCGUGAGUGACGGUAAUGGGUAAAGAAGCACCGGCUAACUACGUGCCAGCAGCCGCGGUGAUACGUAGGGUGCGAGCGUUGUCCGGAUUUAUUGGGCGUAAAGGGCUCGUAGGUGGUUGAUCGCGUCGGAAGUGUAAUCUUGGGGCUUAACCCUGAGCGUGCUUUCGAUACGGGUUGACUUGAGGAAGGUAGGGGAGAAUGGAAUUCCUGGUGGAGCGGUGGAAUGCGCAGAUAUCAGGAGGAACACCAGUGGCGAAGGCGGUUCUCUGGGCCUUUCCUGACGCUGAGGAGCGAAAGCGUGGGGAGCGAACAGGCUUAGAUACCCUGGUAGUCCACGCUGUAAACGGUGGGUACUAGGUGUGGGGUCCAUUCCACGGGUUCCGUGCCGUAGCUAACGCUUUAAGUACCCCGCCUGGGGAGUACGGCCGCAAGGCUAAAACUCAAAGGAAUUGACGGGGCCCCGCACAAGCGGCGGAGCAUGCGGAUUAAUUCGAUGCAACGCGUAGAACCUUACCUGGGUUUGACAUGGAUCGGGAGUGCUCAGAGAUGGGUGUGCCUCUUUUGGGGUCGGUUCACAGGUGGUGCAUGGCUGUCGUCAGCUCGUGUCGUGAGAUGUUGGGUUAAGUCCCGCAACGAGCGCAACCCUUGUUCACUGUUGCCAGCACGUUAUGGUGGGGACUCAGUGGAGACCGCCGGGGUCAACUCGGAGGAAGGUGGGGAUGACGUCAAGUCAUCACGCCCCUUAUGUCCAGGGCUUCACGCAUGCUACAAUGGCUGGUACAGAGAGUGGCGAGCCUGUGAGGGUGAGCGAAUCUCGGAAAGCCGGUCUCAGUUCGGAUUGGGGUCUGCAACUCGACCUCAUGAAGUCGGAGUCGCUAGUAAUCGCAGAUCAGCAACGCUGCGGUGAAUACGUUCCCGGGGCUUGUACACACCGCCCGUCAAGUCAUGAAAGUUGGUAACACCCGAAGCCGGUGGCCUAACCGUUGUGGGGGAGCCGUCGAAGGUGGGACUGGUGAUUAGG